AAGCGGAGGACUCUGAAAGAGCUGCGCCGAAUACACAACACAGGACCCCUCCCUCAUACGUUCUCAUCUUCCUCACAUCGCAUAACACCAAAGAAUAACGCCUGAAGGGCUGAAAAAUGGAAAAAGGAGGAAAAGGCUGAAGAGCUUCAGCCGCAGAACACCCAUCGAGACCCCCGACUCCCCCGUCAUCAUCUCUUUCACGCCUAUCUCCAGUUUCAUCUUCUCUACCGUAAACGACCCCUCCCCUCGAACUUCCAUCUCGCUUCUGUCCAAACGAUUUAUCCGAUUUUCUGCCUCACCAUCUGUUGGUUCGAAUUUUGUUCGAGGCAUCGUUGACAGUUUGGUUUCAGUUGAAGUUUCUCAAAGAGAUUCAAGUUUCAGAUUUCAUCUUUCAAUUCUGUUUUUUUUUUCUAAAAGAUGAGCGUGGUUUGAGGCUCAAUUUUGAUUUCCGGGCAGAUUCGAGGUUACCGUUGUAAUUCCCUAUGCGUCUUUUGAAAGCAGAUUCUACACUAUUCAGCUGCACUUUGUGGUUAUUCUGAUUCAAUGCUGCUGUGAUUCCAAUACUUUGUUUCUACUGUUGAGGUCGUCGUUUUGAGCCGGAAAUUUCUGUGUCUACUGCUGCUGAAUUUAGCGCUCAAGGUGUUGCUGAAGUUCCGAGUUUUGAGCAGCAAUUGAAUAGCAAACCUGCGUCAGCUUGUUCGAGUCUUUGAAUUCUGUAUUUAAUUGAAAUCUGUUGAUGUAAUACAAGUUCCCUAAGCACUAUUUUUAUUUUUCUGCAACAUUUUGUGAACCUGAAAUUGGGUUUGGACAUUAUAGCUUGUUUGAA